rnacentral:rRNA from 1 species
AUACGUAGGGGGCGAAGCGUUAUCCGGAUUUACUGGGUGUAAAGGGAGCGUAGACGGCACUGCAAGUCUGGAGUGAAAGCCCGGGGCUCAACCCCGGGACUGCUUUGGAAACUGUGGUGCUAGAGUGCAGGAGAGGUAAGUGGAAUUCCUAGUGUAGCGGUGAAAUGCGUAGAUAUUAGGAGGGAACACCAGUGGCGAAGGCGGCUUACUGGACUGUAACUGACGUUGAGGCUCGAAAGCGUGGGGAGC